GUAACACCAGAAAUUCCUCCAAAGAAAAACCCACCAGUGAACUUGGACCAACCAUCAGCUGUUUGGAGUGGAUCGGGCUGCUUCUUACGGCCCGUUAAGGUCAAAGAUGGAGCAAUUGAUGGAUCACCUUCAUUGAAUGAUGAAACUCCAUAGAUUGUAAGGCAAAUGCUGAGGAUAACAAUUAGCCCAGCAGCUGCAAGAGAGCCUGCUGAUCCGGCGUAUUCGGUGUUCCUUAGAGGCCCGGCUUUAACGAACGGGCCUACGAGGAAGAAUCCGUGGGCUAAGCCAACUUCAAUUCCCCUAAGUAGUGGGUUCACUGCAGUUCUGUAGCCUGGUAGGUUGGAGAGGUACCAUGCAACAAGUGGGCUUGAUGUAACUGGAGUUUCAAGGCUUCCAAUGAAUGGAUCACCAUUGAUUGGUUGAAUCACUUGGUAGUUUGGCUGCAACAAUGGAAGUUUCCAAUUGAAAUAAAUGACUCAAUUUCAGGACUAAGCUUUUGUCAAAGUUGUUAAUAAUAGGACUAAACUGAAAUUUAAAACUAGUUAAGAUAUGUUAACUAAAAUUAGUUUGGCCAAAUAUCAAUCAUCAGUGGCUUCUUAUUGAACGUUAAUGCCUUAUUACUCAAACAAACCUACAUAAUGAACAUGUAUAUAUAUAAACGUGACAACAUAUAUACCAAUUGAAAUCUUAAUCUAUAAGCAAAGAGAAUAUACAUAAGUAAUAGGAGGAAGUGGCUUACCUUUUCAGAUUGGAUGGCCUUAACAGUGAAGUUAAAUUGCCUUCUAGAAGGUAAUUGAUGGAGUGGGGAAGAGCCACAAAGUCCUCUAGGUGUGACCAAAGGUCUAGUGAAGCUGGACUUGAGUUGGCUUGCCAUAGGAGAAGCAGCUGC
rnacentral:lncRNA from 1 species